rnacentral:lncRNA from 1 species
AGUGACCUGCUAGAACAUCACUCUUGUUCCACAAAUGGAAUGUGAGCCCAACAGGAGAGCAAGCCCUGGCCUGCGGCAAUGGACAGGAGCCACCAAGGGUACAGGUUCAAAGCCACCCUGGUCUACCCAGUAAGAUGCUGUCCCAGCACAAAAUUGUAUCUCAACAAAACACCUGCAGGGCUCGGGUGGAGGGGAGGCAACUGCAGCUCUCCCUACCUCAGCCAGGCAGCGGGAACUGCAGGCCUUGGCUUUUCCUUCUUUCACGGGGCAUCCCAUUCACCCCUGCGCACCACGCCAAAGGAGCCAUCUCCCAGCUUCUCCAGCAGGCGCAGGUCUUUCUCCCCAAUGAGGCAGGUCUCAACGCAUUCAUCCUCUGCUAAAACCUGGGCAAUGGACCAGGACUGUGUCCCCAGAAAAGGCCACAGGCUCUCAAGAGACAGCCCCUUUGCCAGACUGCAGCCAGAAAAUCUCUACUGCCCAAUCCCUGUCCAGCUGUUCUGCCCUGCUCACCCCUCACCCCAGUUCUGAAGCCAGAAGUAGGGAGGGAGGCCCUGGCUGGCUCACUUCCUCUCUCAUUGUCUUCUAGACAAUGGGCAAAGUUCCACUGAGUCAGAUCAGGGACUCACAACACCACAGACCCAAAUUAGGAUGGGUGAGGGGAACUGUGGGGAAGGAAACUGUCAGCAGAGCCAGAUGACCAAGGAGCCUGAAGACCUGAAGACUCGAGAGCAUGGGGGAAGUGUUGGGGG